CACUCAUUCUUGGCCUCUGCUCCAGUGCCUGCCUCCAGGUUCCAGCCCUGACCUCUGUGAGCUGUGGACUGUGGGCUGGGGGAUGAAAUGAGUCCUCUCCUCCCCCAUGUUGCUUUUGGCCACGGUGCUUAUCCCAGCAAGAAUUUUUCUCACCUCAUACUCACCUGUUCCACAGCUUCUUUUUCUUUCUCUUUGGAAAACAAACAAAACAGGGCUCCCUGCCCAGCUGCAAACUCUGUGACCUGUAAGUCAUGCUGGUAAAACAAUGGAAAGAUUUGUGGGAGUAAGAAACACUAUCGGAUUGUAUGCAAGCCCCAUUCCAUGAGAUGGGACCCAAGUCUGACACUCCUCUGACGGCUAAGGUCCUGAGACUAGAUGGGCCACAGGUCUAGGGGAAAAGCAAACACUAUUGUGCUAGUAAAGAAACAUAGUAACAAAUGUUACUCCAUGCAGUAGAUGGGAGCAAAUACAGACCCACAACUGAACAAUGCAGAGAGAGAAAGACUGUAAGGGUCAGUCCUAAAUGGGACGUCUUCAUCAAACCACAGAAGCUGGAAUUUUUAGUGAUAUAUAAACCAAGGUAAUAAGGACAUUCUGCAAAGACACUUGGAAGAAAAUGAACAGUGGGAACUUCUUCUGAAAAUACACUUCUCUUGCCACAAAAAAAUAGUCAAUAAGUUAUUGUAUACUAUCUCCAUGUACUAUAUUGAUAUCUUAAAUGAGGAUGGUCAUGGGUAUAAUUUUAAAUGUCUCUGGGCACUAGGCUCUACCAGAAUAGUGAUGCCCCUCAUUUAAACCUCAUAUGCUUGCAAAGUGAUUAAUGGUGGUUUUUAAAAUGAAUUUCUAUAACUGCAAAAUGUAUUUUGUUAAUUUCUCUGUAUGUUCCUUAGGUACACAUGGAAUGCUUGCCCUGUACUAUUUUACCGUACCUUCUAAAAUUUAUCCAUGUUUCUGACAUUAAUAGUCUUUACAUGAUAUGAGUGUGUCUAAGUUAGCAGUUAGGUGAGAUCUAGACACAUUGAAACAGUUAAAUAUAUGUAUAAGGGACUAUGCUACCAGCAUAACCACUGACAUGAUCAAGGCUGCAGUUGUUACUAAAAUAUUAUGUUUAUUCUGUCCAGCACUGGUUUGGUGUCUUGAUGGUUUAGUUUGGAGAAAGCAAUUAUGCAUGCUGUGACAGCUGAUGAGAAGGUUUGUGUAGUUUUGAAAGCAUCAUGUACAAUUUAAAAUAUUCGGAUAUUCACUCUUAUGUUUAUGUAAAAUAUAUACUACAUAAAUAAGACUACAGUAAGCUAAUGAAAAUUAAAAUACAUGUAUCAUCUAUGCACACUAACAGACAUAACGAUAUAUGUUAAAUUCAUGCAUAUGUACAUAGACACUAUAGCUAUAUAGACACAUGUAAUUACAGAAGCACAUAUUACAUACUCUUAAAGCACAAGAAGUUAAGAGGGCAUAUAACCCUAUAUAAAUAAAAAUAUGCUCUCAGAUGUAUGCAGAUACAUUCAAAAUGUAUCAUGUAUAUCACAGAUACUACUACAAGUAAUUCCAAAUAUAUUAGGCAGUCAGGUUGUCCUUUCUUAUUUUAUACUUUUCUCCUAGAUCAAAAUUUCAGCAGUUAUGUAGUAGCCACAGAUCUUUAUACAGAUGUUUUGGUAUUACGGGUAUGUCCAAGGCUUACGUAAUAUGCUAAGUCUAAAAUCACGAGUGUCAGAAGUAAAGAGAUAUUUCCGCUCAUGGUAGGCACAGUAAGAACAAGGCCAACAUUAGUUGUUUGCCCAACUACUUGAAAGAGCUUAAAUAACAAGAUGAGCAGCAAACCAAUUAAGUAAGAAAAAUGGAUAAAAUCGGGAUUUGAAAUGAAAUAAAAUUCUAUUUAUCUGAA